rnacentral:SRP_RNA from 1 species
GCUAGGCAUGGCGGCGUGUGCCUGUAAUCCCAGGUACUCAGGAGGCUGAGACAGGAGAAUCGCUUGAACCUGGGAGGCAGAGGUUGCAGUGAGCCCAGAUCGUGCCACUGCACUGAGCCCAGAUCGUGCCACUGCACUCCAGCCUGGGCAACAGAGUGAGACCCUGUCUCUA